CACGUGCUGGAGGUUUAGUUUCCUAAAUUGAAAUAGUGGGUUUUUAACUGUGAUGAUUAAAAAGCCACUGUUUCCAUUUAGGGGUGUCCAUCACUGUUACGGCAUGGGGCAAGUCCUUUUUU